rfam:Oryza glumipatula chromosome 4, whole genome shotgun sequence.
AAAAAGGCAAACAUUGGGUUUCCGUGUACUUUGACUGUCCAUCUUAUAUGAAAUUUUUUUAUAAUUCGUAUUUUCAUUGUUGUUAGAUUAUAAAACAUGAUUAAUAUUUUAUGCGUGACUUGUCUUUUUAAUUUUUUUCAUAAUUUUUUCAAAUAAGACGGACGGUCAAACGUUGGACACGGAAACCAGGGUUUGUCUUUUU